rnacentral:rRNA from 1 species
UACGAAGGGGGCUAGCGUUGCUCGGAAUCACUGGGCGUAAAGCGCACGUAGGCGGAUUGCUAAGUCAGGGGUGAAAUCCUGGAGCUCAACUCCAGAACUGCCUUUGAUACUGGCGAUCUCGAGUUCGGGAGAGGUGAGUGGAACUGCGAGUGUAGAGGUGAAAUUCGUAGAUAUUCGCAAGAACACCAGUGGCGAAGGCGGCUCACUGGCCCGAUACUGACGCUGAUGGCACGAAAAGCGUGGGGGAGCAAACAGG